UUAGACCAAGAUGGUCAUUAGAGUCAC
rnacentral:piRNA from 1 species